rnacentral:rRNA from 1 species
CAGUCGCCGCGGUAAUACAGAGGGUGCGAGCGUUAAUCGGAUUUACUGGGCGUAAAGCGUGCGUAGGCGGCUAAUUGAGUCGGAUGUGAAAUCCCCGAGCUUAACUUGGGAAUUGCAUUCGAUACUGGUUAGCUAGAGUGUGGGAGAGGAUGGUAGAAUUCCAGGUGUAGCGGUGAAAUGCGUAGAGAUCUGGAGGAAUACCGAUGGCGAAGGCAGCCAUCUGGCCUAAUACUGACGCUGAGGUACGAAAGCAUGGGGAGCAAACAGGAUUAGAUACCCCUGUAGUCCCUGUCUCUUAUAC